AGCGCAGCUUGGUAGCGCAACUGGUUUGGGACCAGUGGGUCGGAGGUUCGAAUCCUCUC
rnacentral:tRNA from 2 species